ACUUGGAUCCCUAAUGCUGUCAGCAAGGAUUUAUCUUUCAGGAAUAGGGUUGCCAGGUAAAACACAGGACAAGACUCCCAGUUAAAUGUGAAGUUCAGAUACACAACAAAUAAUUUUUUAGUAUAAGUAUGUCUUAAAUAUUGAAUGGGACAUACUUACACUUUUUAAAAAAAAUGUUUAUCUGGGCUGGGAGCAGUGGCUCCCACCUGUAAUCCCAGCACUUUGGGAGGCCGAGGCAGGCGGAUCACUUGAGGUCAGGAGUUCGAGACCAGCCUGGCCAACAUGGGGAAACCCCAUCUGUACCAAAAAUAUAAAAAAUUAGCUGGGAGUGGUGGCAUGAACCUGUAAUCCCAGCUACUCGGGAGGCUGAGGCAGGAGAAUUGCUUGAACCCGGGAGGCAGAGGUUGCAGUGAGCGGAAAUCAUGCCACUGCACUCCAGCCUUGGCAACAGAAAGAGACUCUCUCAAAAAAAACAAAGUUUAUCUGAACUUCAAAUUUACCUGGAGAUCCUGUAUUUUUAUUUCCUAAAUUAGGCAACUGAUUCAAGAAGGAAAUUAGAAGAAUCUUGAAACCUGGGAGACCUGACCAUCCCAAGAGGAAGUCUCCAAAGACACUUACCUCCGAUUUCCCCGCAGCAAAAGGUCCAGCUAGAUCAUUCUAUCAUGAAGCUCAAAAUUGGCAAGUGUUACUCACAUGGUCAGAAUUUUCUAUGAGUUUUUGGUAAUCCCCAAGAGUUACCAGACAUGUGAGAAAAACUUAUUGCAUGAAAAAGCAAAUAAAAAAGCAGAUAAAAGCAACUUGAAGGAAGCAGGGGGGAGGAGCUUCAAUAAAAAAUUUCCUAAAUAGCCUCAGAGAGAGAAGAAAAAAUAAUACAUGCACAAAACAACAAUAAGUGUUGAAACUCCGAAGACAAGAAAAAAGAGUUCUUGGAAAUUAAGAACAUGUUAACAAAAAUAAAAGAUUCAGUACAAGAUUUGGAAGAUCAAGAGGAGGAAAUCUCUCAGAAAGUAGAGGAGAAAAAUAAAGUAGUAAAAAAUAGCAGAGAAAAUGUCGGAAAAUUAGAGCCCUAAUCCAAGAGGCAGAAGAUCCCAAUAAUAAGAGUUUCAGAAAAAGAGAAAAGAAAAUAGAAAGGAAGAAAUUCUGCAUGCAUUCUGGGGAAGGUGUGGAAUGAGGAAUACACAUACAAAGAAUCAGGAAUCAGAAGAACUUCAGAAUUCUCAAUAGCAACGUAAGAUGGGAGGAUAUAAAUACAUUCACAAUCCUGAAGAAAAGUCAUAACCACCUUUGAAUUCCAUGCCCAGGGAAAUACUUAACUAAAUUUAAGAGGAAAGGCAGUUUCAGACCAGUGAGUCUCAAAAAUCUUGCAUCCCGAUCACUCUCUUUCCGGAAACUGUUAACAACAAGAAAGAGGGCACAAGCCCAAAACAAGGAAGACGGGGAACAGAAAACAGGAAAUCCACACAGGGAAGUGGUAAAGAAAAAUCUUCACCAUGAGGAUAAAGGGAGAUUCCAGGAUGACUCCUAUCGUAUACAAGGCAUGGAGAGCAGCCAGUUCAGAUUAGAGCAAUGUGACUAGACAGCGUUGACUACAACAGAACAAAGGAGCAAAUAAAGGUAGAAGGAGAAAAACAGAGAACCUAAAACAAGGAAAUAGCUAAGAGAGCAUUCCUAGGAUGACAGUAAAGGAAAUCUCAAUAUGACAACUGUGCAGAAUGACUAGAGGGAAACCAGUGCAGAGAAAGGUUAUUAUUUUUAGCUCAAGAUAAACUUAUGAAAAUGAUAUUGUGGAAAAAUUAUUCUGAGAUGCUGUUGGAAGAUAUGGGGUUUUAACAAAAAGUCAAAGAAAAUUAACGAAAUUUAAAAAAAUAAGGCAAUUAAUAACUUUAGGAAAAACAAAGAAAAACUAUAAAAGCAAAACUCUGAGUGAUGUUUGCAAUGACAUACUGAUAUAAACAAAAUUAUGCAUAUUUGCUAUAAAAUGCUUGGAAA
rnacentral:lncRNA from 1 species